GAUGAACGCUAGCGGCAGGCCUAAUACAUGCAAGUCGGACGGGAUUUAGGAGCUUGCUCCUAAUGAGAGUGGCGCACGGGUGCGUAACACGUAUGUAACCUACCUUGUUCAGGGGGAUAGCCUCUCGAAAGAGAGAUUAAGACCGCAUAACGUUAUUGAAUGGCAUCGUUUAAUAACCAAAUAUUUAUAGGAACAAGAUGGGAAUGCGGAACAUUAGCUAGUUGGUAGGGUACGGCCUACCAAGGCUACGAUGUUUAGGGGAUCUGAGAGGAUGACCCCCCACACUGGUACUGAGACACGGACCAGACUCCGACGGGAGGCAGCAGUAAGGAAUAUUGGGCAAUGGGCGGAAGCCUGAACCAGCCAUGCCGCGUGCAGGAAGACGGCCCUACGGGUUGUAAACUGCUUUUAUACGGGAGUAAACCUUGAUACGUGUAUCAAGCUGAAUGUACUGUAAGAAUAAGGAUCGGCCAACGCCGUGCCAGCAGCCGCCGUAA
rnacentral:rRNA from 1 species